rnacentral:rRNA from 1 species
UACGUAGGUGGCAAGCGUUGUCCGGAAUUAUUGGGCGUAAAGCGCGCGCAGGGGGUCCUUUAAGUCUGAUGUGAAAGCCCACGGCUCAACCGUGGAGGGUCAUUGGAAACUGGAGGACUUGAGUACAGAAGAGGAGAGUGGAAUUCCACGUGUAGCGGUGAAAUGCGUAGAUAUGUGGAGGAACACCAGUGGCGAAGGCGGCUCUCUGGUCUGUAACUGACGCUGAGGCGCGAAAGCGUGGGGAGCAAACAGG